rnacentral:rRNA from 1 species
GACGAACGCUGGCGGCGUGCUUAACACAUGCAAGUCGAACGAGGUCCAUGAAGUAGCAAUACUUCGGAAGACCUAGUGGCGAACGGGUGCGUAACACGUGAGGAACUUGUCCCGGUCUCUGGGAUAACAGUUGGAAACGACUGCUAAUACCGGAUGACGUCGGAGCGUCGCAUGGCGCGCUGACGAAAGGGUUACCGGAUCAGGAGAGCCUCGCGGCCUAUCCGCUUGUUGGCGGGGUAAUGGCCCAACAAGGCAUCGACGGGUAGCUGGUCUGAGAGGAUGAUCAGACACACUGGGGCUGAGACACGGCCCAGACUCCUACGGGAGGCAGCAGUGGGGAAUCUUGCGCAAUGGGCGACAGCCUGACGCAGCAACGCCGCGUGCGGGAAGAAGGCUCUCGGGUUGUAAACCGCUUUCAGCAGGAACGAAAAUGACGGUACUUGCAGAAGAAGGUGCGGCCAACUACGUGCCAGCCGCCGCCGUAA